AUAAAUUGUCACCUCUCCGAGUCUGUGGCACCCUGCUCCCCCUCGUCUCAGAGUCGUACCUCGGAGCUCAUCAGCAUGGAGCAUCUCCGACUGUCUUCCCUCGUUGUCCUGGCCGCCCUGGCGUGUGCUAUCAGUGCGCACGGCUUUCUGGAAUCACCUGACACCGAUGUUGAGGAUUCGCUUGAAAACGUUGGUGCCUUGGACCAGUGUGCUUUGUGCCAGACCACAAUGGAAGUUGUCGUGGACCUUCUGAAGAUUCGCAAGAAUGUAGUGUACAAGCAAUCGUGCAAGUCCAUGAAAAAAACGCCUGACUAUCAACCGUGUCUGAAAAUGGCCAGGGACGUGUUGAAAAAGCUAACCAGCCAACCGAGAAUCGAAAUGUGCAAGCACCUGCAGGCGUGUGGAGCAACCCAAGUGGAGGAGGACUCGUACGACAUGAGCAUAUAAUAAGCUGCUGACAUCGAGCACAUGUUGGAGAAUCUUUUGUAGAAGAUCCCAUUCCCCUGCUUUGUGUUUUGGCUUUAGCACGCAAGCGCAGUACUUGCACACGCGUAGAAACACACGACCACACAUUUACUCACAAACGUUGGAUAGCAUCGUAUUUGUUCAUUACCCAUUGACACGGGACAAAACUGUCUCCUCCCAAAAUCACUUCGUUUACUGUAGGGCAUCAAUCUUAAUCCAGUAUGAAUUUUCACAGCUCAUGCCGCCACGUGCCAUCAGCUUGUAAUGCUGUGCCGUUGCUGUAUUAGAAUAAGGUUUGCCACUUGUCCUGUUUUUCCCCAGGAUUGGACCCUAGUUAAAGCAGAGUUCUGUAAGUCUUCCUAGGACAUUAGAAGUCCCGGUGUAAGUUGGUAAAUAUACACCACUGAAGACAGUGCAAUUAAGUGUAUUUCUGCCCCUUUCAAAAUAGUGAGAUAGUAUCCUCUUCACGAUAUGUCCCGAGUUUUUUGCACCACAGAGGUGGCAACCCCAGUCAAUGCUGGAUCAAAAUCUUGUUGAGCAGCCCAAAGUGCAUGUUUGUGCUUCGGAAUGAGGCCAGUAGAAACGCCAAACAUUUAUUCGCAUGAGGUUUUUUGGAAAAUGUUUUAAACAGCUAGUCUGGUAAAUGUAUACGAUUGUGUGUAUUCGACUGAAAUAGCAAUAGAAGCCAAUGUUUAUAUUCAUAGCAGCUAUUGGUCAGUCUGUAAUCUCAGUCCAUGAUGCCUUUCAAUAAAUUUUCUACAGUGACAUAAAUGUAAAAUUAAAUUAGCAGAACUCUGGGAGAAAUGACUACCACAGUGAUCAGGGUGUUCCAGUGUGUGAAGUACCCACACGUGCAUGGCUAUUAUCUAUGAAUGCUGGAAUAGAACCCACACGCGUGGCAUGAGAACACAUGGGCAUUCCAGGCGAGUCUCAAACAUGCCGACAUGCUGUGCCAAGCUGUGCUGCUUUCUGAAAUGCGCCCACCAACUGGCUGACACUGCAGGAUGCGACUGGAUUUCGUCAUUCAUUGGCUGUCAAUACCGAUGUGUACGUAACACAUCCUGCACCACAUCGUUACUCUAAUGCAGCGCAUAAUUUCAAUCCGGAAUGCUGUUCUGGGAAUUAUUUUGACACAACACACUCCAUCUCGCCUUAUUUUCUACAAAUCCACCUUGACAGGGUUAUAGGGAUAUAGGGUACAACAAUAUCGUAUUAUGAUGUAUAGGCGGACCUUGUACUCUCGUGGAAGUGCCUUACACCGAUAAUCCCUACUCCAAGCCAGCAUAGCGGCGUUCCGGUAAUUAUGCAGUGUGUUCAAAUAGCGCCUCUACGCAUAAAAUGUGUAAUAGGUGUAUUCAUGUAACAAGAGCAGUCGUCACAGGCAUCUAAAGUCAAAUGUAACAUUCACACGCGUUACACUAACACAGGCCUAUAUGAGUAGCACACAGAGGAACACAUUAACACCGCUUUAGCUUAUACGUCGCCCUUGCUUCAUACAGCAAAAUGUCAUUCAUAUUUUCAAUAAAGGAAAUAUUGUGUCAA